rnacentral:rRNA from 1 species
AUUGAACGCUGGCGGCAUGCCUUACACAUGCAAGUCGAACGGCAGCACGGGGCAACCUGGUGGCGAGUGGCAAACGGGUGAGUAAUGCAUCGGAACGUACCUUUCAGUGGGGGAUAACGUAGCGAAAGUUACGCUAAUACCGCAUAUUCUGUGAGCAGGAAAGCAGGGGAUCGCAAGACCUUGCGCUGAUUGAGCGGCCGAUGUCAGAUUAGCUAGUUGGUGAGGUAAAGGCUCACCAAGGCGACGAUCUGUAGCGGGUCUGAGAGGAUGAUCCGCCACACUGGAACUGCGACACGGUCCAGACUCCUACGGGAGGCAGCAGUGGGGAAUUUUGGACAAUGGGGGCAACCCUGAUCCAGCCAUGCCGCGUGAGUGAAGAAGGCCUUCGGGUUGUAAAGCUCUUUCGGCCGGGAAGAGAUCGCACGGGCUAAUACCCUGUGUGGAUGACAGUACCGGAAUAAGAAGCACCGGCUAACUACGUGCCAGCCGCCGCAGUAAUAC